ensembl:lncRNA
CAUCUCCACCUCCUCCACCUCCUCCUCCUCCAGCAGCAGGAACCUCUGACUGUCACACCACCCUGUUCGGACCCGCUUGGCUCCUCUGUGGUUCCGCUCCAGCAGGAGGCGCUGUGCUGCAUGGAAGCUGGUGUGUGUGUGAACACAAAGAAGCAAAUAAACAGGAGGAAGAGAAAAAGAAGGUUCAACAUGGACUGAGACACAGGAGUGUGUUACAGGUGUGUGAAGAGGUGGAAUGUGUGGAGAAAACUCUGCUGAAAAGACGAGCUGAGCUGCGUCAGGCUGACCGGCUGCUGCUGGAGGCUCAGAGCUGCAUACACACCUCCAGAGACCAGGCCAAUGAAGCUCAGUGGAAGGCGGAGGUGUUGUGGGGCCGAGCGGAGGACGGCGUCGUCUGUGUGCUGGAGGCCAGGCAGCAGAUCAGGGAGCUGCAGCAGAAUGUGGAGCACCUCGGCAGGAGAAGGCAGGAGGAGGAGCUAACUGUUAAAGACAUGGAAGAGACUCUGAGGAGCAGGGAGCAGGAGGUCCAGCAACUCAGCUCCGAAAUACACAUGGCUGCAGACAGGCUGGCCGGCGUGCUGUCUGACUGUCAGGAGGCUCACAGACGUCUGGCCUCUCUCUGCUGUCAGGAGGAGGUGCAGCAGAGGCUGGUCCAGAGGAAGGAGGAGCACCACCAUGCACUGACCAGGGUGGAGGAGGUCAGACAGGAGGAGAUACGACUGCAUGCCGCUGUCAAGGAUCUGUUGGAGCAGCAGGAGGUGCUGUUGGCUCAGAGGAGCUCUGCCAUGUCUGCAGUGAGGGAGGAGCAGCAGCGGCUGGUCGCCCUGAGGACGGAGCUCAGCACACACAGAGCUGGUAACACCGACAGGAACAUGGAUCAGUCAGAGUACUGA